GACGAACGCUGGCGGCGUGCCUAACACAUGCAAGUCGAGCGAAGUUUUUAAAGAAGAUUUCUUCGGAAUGAAACUUUAAUUAUCUUAGCGGCGGACGGGUGAGUAACGCGUGAGAAACCUGCCUUUACAAAGGGAUAGCCUCGGGAAACUGGGAUUAAUACCUUAUGACACUUAAAUGCCGCAUGAGAUUUAAGUCAAAGCGUAAAGCGGUAAAAGAUGGUCUCGCGUCCCAUUAGUUAGUUGGUGAGGUAAAGGCUCACCAAGACAGCGAUGGGUAGCCGGCCUGAGAGGGUGAACGGCCACACUGGAACUGAGACACGGUCCAG
rnacentral:rRNA from 1 species